UAGAGUGCCAUGUGGAUAUUUAAAGAAAAAUCUCUGGGAUCAACAUCUGUAAAGGAGAAGGGAAAGAAAGUGUUGGGUAGCUACAUCCUAAACUGAGCCCACAGGAAAAAUUUGGAAGAAGAAUGGUCCUCCAUAGUGGUCUUGAGUUCAAAAGAAAGAACUCGUCCUUUGUAGCCCCAUGUCCAUCAGUCACUGAAUGUGAGCCAUGUAGCCUUGGACCUGGAGGCUGGAUUAACACAAUUUCAGAGGGGCUGGCUAUGAAAGGGUGGCAGCGGACAUACUAGCAACAGUAAGGACAACAAGAUGUUCAUUGUUUCACUGAAGGAAAAUCUGAAUGGUGCAUCACUAGUUAACAAGAUAAUUAUUUACCACAAAUAAAAUGGUACAAUUGUAUUAUCUUGAUCUUUAUUGCUUGACAUAUUUUAUUACACACUGCUACUUUAUUCAAGUCAGAGAUCCAUAGCCUUAAACCUGAUAUUGAAUUCUAGAGGGAAAAUGCAAUUACAUGCAAUAGCAAUUACAUGGCUAAGAGCUAAGUAGCUAAUUGGAGUUGAGGUUUAUCCUUUCAAAGGAAAUGGCCAUACUGCCCA
rnacentral:lncRNA from 10 species